rnacentral:rRNA from 1 species
GUCGACCGGCGCACGGGUGAGUAACGCGUAUCCAACCUGCCCACCACUUGGGGAUAACCUUUGCGAAAGUAAGACUAAUACCCAAUGAUAUCUCUAGAAGACAUCUGAAAGAGAUUAAAGAUUUAUCGGUGAUGGAUGGGGAUGCGUCUGAUUAGCUUGUUGGCGGGGUAACGGCCCACCAAGGCGACGAUCAGUAGGGGUUCUGAGAGGAAGGUCCCCCACAUUGGAACUGAGACACGGUCCAAACUCCUACGGGAGGCAGCAGUGAGGAAUAUUGGUCAAUGGGCGAGAGUCUGAACCAGCCAAGUAGCGUGCAGGAUGACGGCCCUAUGGGUUGUAAACUGCUUUUAUAAGGGAAUAAAGUGAGUCUCGUGAGACUUUUUGCAUGUACCUUAUGAAUAAGGACCGGCUAAUUCCGUGCCAGCAGCCGCGGUAAUACGGAAGGUCCGGGCGUUAUCCGGAUUUAUUGGGUUUAAAGGGAGCGUAGGCCGGAGAUUAAGCGUGUUGUGAAAUGUAGACGCUCAACGUCUGCACUGCAGCGCGAACUGGUUUCCUUGAGUACGCACAAAGUGGGCGGAAUUCGUGGUGUAGCGGUGAAAUGCUUAGAUAUCACGAAGAACUCCGAUUGCGAAGGCAGCUCACUGGAGCGCAACUGACGCUGAAGCUCGAAAGUGCGGGUAUCGAACAGGAUUAGAUACCCUGGUAGUCCGCACGGUAAACGAUGGAUGCCCGCUGUUGGUCUGAACAGGUCAGCGGCCAAGCGAAAGCAUUAAGCAUCCCACCUGGGGAGUAC